AGUUAUUUUUAUUUUUUUUAUAAAGAAUGCAACAGCCCCAGAGUGACAAAUUUGCCUCAUAUAAGUAACACUCUAGGUUUGGGAAGUGGCUAUAUAGUGAAUCUUUGGCUGAAGACAACAACCUGAUAUAGACAUCAGUUGUUCAGCCUUAGUAAUAAGAUCCAUGGCUUCCAGCGUUGCUUUACAGCUUAUGUAUUCUCAUUUGUCCUGCCAGCUUCUUUUGACAUGAUGUGUGUGUACAUUAAAAGCUGAUGCUGAAAAUCUCCUGUGACACUUAGCAGAACAUGCAAUGCUAUCACCCUGAUACUGUACAGUGUACAUAACUUUGUGGCACCUGUUGAGUACCAUAAUACUGUUAUGGGCUUUCGCUAAACUAAGUGUCAAUGAAUGUAACACACUGCACACUGGGAAUUGUAGCACGAUUCCAGUGAGGCUCCCAAAUGUGUCUCAAUCAUUUAGAUCCUUUGCACAGUUGAUUCCCUGCUCAGUCAAUAAAUAAACCUCUCUGGACAAAGAGCUUAAAAGUGCCUUAGGAGUGCAAGAGCUCUAAAUUGGAAAUGAAUGCAGCAUUAAUCCAUGACAAAUUAUUUAUCAAAGCAUUCUGGGAGAAAAAAAUUUCAAAUCAUACCCAGAUGACAGCGAAUGAGGAAUUAAGGAUGAAGAACAGUGCUCUGUCAAAGCUACGUCAUGAAUGGCUAUUGAGACUUGAGAGUCAAAUAAAACAUAUCAAGAACUUCAAUGACAGACAUGCCAUAAUGUCAAUGGAGGUCAAGCAGACUGAUAAGGAAUGAUUUAAGACGAGCUUCCCCAGACACAUAACAUGGGAUUUUUUGCUAUGGAGAAGAUAAAAUAAUAUAAAAUAAAAAUAAAUAUAUUAAUACAUAAAAUGUUAAGUAUAUAUUAUUCAUUUAAUAAGUAUGUAUGUCAUAAUUCAUUAUUUGUUUAUUUAUGCAUUCUUUUUCACAUUGGUUAUUCAUUUUUCUUUUUCUGAUUUCCUUGUGCAAAUGAGGGGCUGUCAGUCAAACCUGUCACAUUGUCAUCUUCUGCUUAGCUGAUCAGUAUCUGAUUCCUAUCUGAUUCCAGCCAGAUAUAAAUUACAGAAUACAUAAAUGUGGGCUUUUGUACAUGAGACGAAUGAAAGGAAAAUUAAUAAUAAACUUAUAAGAUUUUUUUUUUUUUUUUCUCCAAUUCCCAUUUUGGUAGAUCUGGUCCUCCAUAUUUUAAAUGUAUCCAUAUUUUUUUUACCAACACUUUUUAUAAUAUUUUUUUAUCAACACUUUUUAUAAUAUUGUUAACACACAGACGCUGUUUGUCUGUAACAUUUAAUGUCAUUUUUACUCACUACACCACUGUUUAACUUGUAACAUAAAAAAAAUAACCUUAAAACAUGGUCUAUAAACCAAAUGGCACAUAAAAGGCCAAAAUGUCACAAAC